AUUGAACGCUGGCGGCAGGCCUAACACAUGCAAGUCGAACGGUAACAGGAAACAGCUUGCUGUUUCGCUGACGAGUGGCGGACGGGUGAGUAAUGUCUGGGAAACUGCCUGAUGGAGGGGGAUAACUACUGGAAACGGUAGCUAAUACCGCAUAACGUCGCAAGACCAAAGAGGGGGACCCUCGGGCCUCUUGCCAUCGGAUGUGCCCAGAUGGGAGUAGCUUGUUGGUGGGGUAACGGCUCACCAAGGCGACGAUCCCUAGCUGGUCUGAGAGGAUGACCAGCCACACUGGAACUGAGACACGGUCCAGACUCCUACGGGAGGCAGCAGUGGGGAAUAUUGCACAAUGGGCGCAAGCCUGAUGCAGCCAUGCCGCGUGUAUGAAGAAGGCCUUCGGGUUGUAGAGUACUUUAAGCGGGGAGGAAGGAAGUAAAGUUAAUACCUUUGCUCAUUGACGUUACCCGCAGAAGAAGCACCGGCUAACUCCGUG
rnacentral:rRNA from 1 species